GAUGAACGCUCGCGGCAGGCCUAACACAUGCAAGCCGAGCGGUAGAGUUCCGUCUGCAGCGUAAGAGCGUCGCACGGGGGCGUAUCACGUGUGCAACCUACCCUUUUCUCGGGGAGAGACUUCCGAAAGGAAGAGUAAUACCCCAUAAUAUAAUGAUUGUCAGCAAUAUUGUUUGAAAGCUCCUGUGGUGAGGGAUGGGCACGCGCAAGAUUAGCUAGUUGGUGAGGUAACGGCUCACCAAGUCAACGAUCUGUAGGGGGCCUGAGAGGGAGAUCCCCCACGCUGGUACUGAGACACGGACCCGACUCCUACGCGAGGCAGCAGACGGGAAUAUUGGGCAAUGAGUGAGGGCCUGAUCGAGCCAGCCCGCUUGAGGGAUGACGGUCCGAUGGAUAGUAACCUUCUGUUGUACAGGGCUAACGCUAGCCUCGUGGCGGUAUGUGACGGUACUGUAAUAAUAAGCACCGGCUAACUCCGUG
rnacentral:rRNA from 1 species